CGGAACACGUACAGAACCUUCCUUUAAGCGGGGGAUAGCCCAUAGAAAUGUGGAUUAAUACCCCAUAGUAAUAUUGACUGGCAUCAGUUGGUAUUUAAAGAUUUAUCACUUAAAGAUGGCUGUGCGGCUGAUUAGGUAGUUGGUGUGGGUAAUGGCCCACCAAGCCAGCGAUCAGUAACUGGUGUGAGAGCACGACCAGUCACACGGGCACUGAGACACGGGCCCG
rnacentral:rRNA from 1 species